GUGAGAUCUUAGCUUAAUUAAAGUGUCUGGGUUGCAUUCAGGAGAUGUAUAUUAAAGUUAUGCAGGUCUUC
rnacentral:tRNA from 1 species